rnacentral:pre_miRNA from 1 species
UCAGGUUUCUCCACGUGGUGUUGUACCCAAGCAAGUUAGUGAGAACACCACACUUUGAGAUGAAUUAAGAGUCCUUUAUUAA